CUGGAGUGUUACCUCUUUGAAGCCUCACUCCUGCCUGUGAGGAAGCUGCUGCUGUCCUGACUCCUGCGUCACAGUGUCAGCUCAUACCAAGGGGCCCUGAGCUUCCUGGAAGGUCACCUUACCAGGCAUUUCUGGGAGUCUCCAGGAGGUAGCAGGCAUCUUGAAUGUGCCCAUGAGGAAGUCCAGCCUGCCAUCUGGGCUCAACCUUCUCCAGUGUGACUCGCUUCCCCUUUCUUCAGGAAAACGAUGUUGGAACAUGAACUGCAAGGAGCUCCCGGAUCUGACAUUCCUGGCUGUUCUGAUCUUUCGGUCCUCUGCAGGAUGGAGGCUGCGUGGCUGGAGAUCCCACCGUCACUGAG